rnacentral:lncRNA from 1 species
CUUAUUGUGUCAGUGGGUGAUGUCAGUUUAAUAUAAUAUAGUGGCGGACAAGACAUAAACUUUCGGUUGUAAAUGUCAUAAACUUUCUAUCGGUUAGGACACCUACUAAACAUGACGUCGGAUUUACUAUUGGUUGUAAGCGUAAAAAACUUUCUAUGUCGUUUUUAACUGACGUAAACAGUUAAUGUCGCUUAUAACCGACAUAGAUUUUAAUAAUUUUUAAUUACUAGUGUCCAAAUUAUGCGGUAAAGGAUGAAUCCCAUCUGGAAAGGUCUGUACAAGAUUAACAAAGUAGGUGGCAAAGGAAAUUACACCCUCGCCACCAUGAAUGACAAAGAGAUCGAAAAGCAGUGGAACGCUUACAAUAUGAGGAAGUACCAUGUGUGACCUUCUGUUAAAUCAAAGCCCGUACAGUCAAGUAGCUCGACGGGCACAACCUUACAAGCCGAGGACUAUCCAGUUGUUAUGCAGUUCCUACAUUGCAGCUAAGUUCUCGUUCGUUUCAUUUGUUUUUCAAUGAGGAAUUCAGAAGUAAUCUACAACUUGGCUUGGCUGCAUGCUUACAACAACUGAUCAAUCCUGCACUUCAAAAAAAGAUCGCGCCCUUCUUAGGGACUCAUGCAGGAAUUGCGCCUCUGAAUGACCAACCAUGGUUUCUAGUGCAAGAGGGUAAACCAAUUCCCCACUACCCAACUAGGUAUGGUCUCCAGUGCAAGAGGAUAAACUAAUUGCUCUUCAAUGCGAUAGGGUAAACCAAUUCCCCGACACCCAUAUGAGUUUGCUCUCCAAGGCGGGAGGAUAAACUUUACAUUCUGAAUAUCCAGACGUGGAUGAGUCGGGCUGCCCUAGUAUAACUAGGUGCAUGAUGGCUUGCGCCGGGAUUCCUAGAAGUAGCCACAAUGGCCUUUUUCAAGGCUUAGCUAGCUGAAAGAUUUUGGGACCCAGAGAUUGAGGGGGCAUAUUAUGCAAUAUGCCCUAUAGAUGGCUACCCUCGAACUUAAAGUUGCUACCGAGUGCACUAAGGUAGCCUACGGUUUGUGCCAAAAGAAGUAAGAAGGGCACGGGUUAGACAAAGAAAAACAAAAGAAAAGGAAAAAAAAAAAAAAGAAAAUUCGUAGAAAAAGAAAGAAAAAAAGAAAAAAGUGUGAAGAGUAUGAAAAGGAGUUGAAAGAGCAUAAAAUGAGCUCUAAGUUGUUGGUUGUUGAAGCAAGGGUCCAAAAAGUUGAAUUAGACCCUAAGUGUUGCAUGAAUCUUCCCCUUGAGUUUAAACAUUGAUUUUCGCAUGCAAAAGUGAAUUCUAAGUAUCAAUUUCAUUACUUUGCUUAUUAUUCUUUAAGAAUGUUUGUUUAUCCUUACCUUUCUUUGUUAGCCAAUACCGUAGCCCCGUUACAACCCUUUGCUUCUAUCUUGAUUGUUAUGUGUUUCAAUAUGUGGAGUUUGGAAUUGGUAUGAGCAUAUGAUAUCCCUGGAUCUCGCAUCUAAGUAGUAGCAUUCCAUUCAUGAGAUCGUAUACAUACAUUCAUAAUUCCAGAAAAUGCUUUUAUUGUCAUAACGUAUGUGAGCAUUAGUUUUCAUAUUUACAUCAAUCUUCUCACAUAGAACUAGUGUAGGGUGUGUAGUCAGAAAAUCUAAGUGAAAAUGAGUGCAUAUCUAGUAAGAAAUUGAGGGAUUCUCUAAGGCAUGUUAUUACAUUCAAAACAUUGUUGUAAUUGAUUAAAUGUGAGCUAGUAAGUGAUGACUAUGAUUAAGUAUGUGCUUAAGUGUAAAGAUGGCUGAAAUCUAUGUGAGUAGUAAUCUUUGGCGUGUCAUGUACCAUUGGGAAUCCCUGAGGCGAUUGUUGGAAGGUUUAGGUUAUGUUUUGUUUCAUUGUUUUGCUCAAGGACUAGCAAAAGCUAAGUGUGGGGGAAUUUGAUAGGAGCAUAUUUAUGCGCCUUAGUUAGUUAGUUCUUAUGCAUUUAUGUUGUGUUUUCUUAGUUAAGUUAGUCUUUUAAGCUAUUUUCAUGUGUUUUCAGGUUUUAGAGACAAAGUGAGCAAAAGGAUGCAAUUUGGAGCAUUUUGGAGCAAAAUUGGGCUAAAAUGGAGUUCAUGCACAUGAUGCACAAGGGAUGGACGAAUUUGAGGAAUUGGUGAAGCUAGGAAGGCGUUUCAAAGUUGAAGAAUUGAAGAUACAAAGUUUCUUAGUUGAAGAAGGAAAUGACUUGAAUGAAGGAUUCCUAAAUGAAUUGGGAUUCCUAAUCACUAAAGGAGUCCUAAUUGAAGAUGGGUUCCUAGAUAUAUGAAGUUUCCUACUCAAGCAAGGUUUCCUACAUGAAGAAGAAGAAUUAAAGCCAAAGAAUCAGCUCAAGAUAAGGAGUAUUAUCCAAAACCUCAUCCAUAACCUUAUCUUAGCUUAUCUUAUCCAAUCAAACCUUAUCCUAUCCUAUCUUAUCCUUAUCCUAAACUAUCCACAUUCCAGCCACUUAGGAGGGUUUCUAAUUAGAUUAGGAUGCUUAAAAUGGGAUUUCUAGAUGACCUUAUCUUAUCCUAUCAAGAUGACACCUAAGAACCUUUCUAGAAGCCUAAAAAUCUGCCUUGCAUUAUCCUUCUAGAACCCUAGAUCAUUGCCGCACCUAAUUCCUAUUUCCCUUGGGAUUUUUGGUUUCUAGAAGCCUUAUCUUUUCACACUCUUUCUGCUGCACAUUAUCUCCCAAUCCCUUUGGGUUUUUGACUUGUUUUCCUUAUAGGAUUGGAUGUUAUUAUCCUAUGCAAUUUAGGCCUUUAAAACCUUGUCCUUUGCUACCUAGGAAUGUGAAUUUUCAGCCUAUAAAUACAAGGCCUUGCCGCACCUAUUCAUUCACCACCCUCUACCAGAUUUUCACUACACCAUUCACCAUUCACACCUCUUGUGCCGUGAGUUUGCAAGGAGAAGAAGGAAGACAACUUGGAGCCGUGCAUGCCAUUCAAG